UACGUAGGGCGCAAGCGUUGUCCGGAAUUAUUGGGCGUAAAGAGCUCGUAGGCGGCUUGUCACGUCGAUUGUGAAAGCCCGAGGCUUAACCUCGGGUCUGCAGUCGAUACGGGCUAGCUAGAGUGUGGUAGGGGAGAUCGGAAUUCCUGGUGUAGCGGUGAAAUGCGCAGAUAUCAGGAGGAACACCGGUGGCGAAGGCGGUUCUCUGGGCAUGACCUGACGCUGAGGAGCGAAAGCGUGGGGAGCAAACAGG
rnacentral:rRNA from 1 species